UGAAAGUGCUGAUGAACGGAAGUAUUCAAUUCUUCCACAAAUGAGUCUAUCUGUCUUGCUGCUGUCUUCCUCCGUUUGCCUUCCAGAUUACUCAAAGCCAUUUGAAUCCCCAGUUUAGAGAAUCCCUGGUGGAUGGUCCACUGUUUCCAGAAGCACAGGGAACAUCUGUGAAGAGAGUCACGAGCAUCUUUGGCUAUGGUGCUGUGCCAGUCUGAUCCUGCAAGGCUUGCUUUCAGAACGCAGGCCAGUGCACGAGCUUGGACCAGCAGGCAGCGGAGGAGCCCAGGUCAUGUCAUUGCUGCUGGUCCUUGGCAUAUUUCAUGCAACAGCACACACAGGAGCAUGGCUAACCUCUCAGAAUUGGAGUUUAACACACCCCAGGACAGGAUAUGACAAUCAAGCUGCUACCACAGUCCCUGGUGUUUUUCCAGAGACACCUGAGUCUGUUUCCUGUAAUGGCGACUGCUGGUGGGCACUCACUGGAUGCUUCUUCUCCAUUUUCUCAGGCAGGUUCAUAACAAGAAACACCUUAUCCCUACAGGAAAUCCCACAACCUUUAGCAAUGACUAUUCAUUGCCAUUUGAUAAGUAGUACCCCCCUGUGCGCCAGGGGCUAGAGAGUGCAAAUUUGAACAAAUUAAGACCACAGACUGCGUUUUAAUAAGGACAAGGAAGGCACAUCUGAAGAGUUCCCGUCUGGAGGAAGAAUGCACUUUCCUGGUUAGGAGAAGCAGCGGGACACAAGGGCCAGACCGCUCAGGGCUUUGAGGAGAUGCUCAAGUUAACCAGAAAUGCUUUGUGUUGCUGUUCCUGUUGAAACGUUUCUGAGAUUGCUUCUACAUGCUGCAGGAGGUUUUGAAAUGCUGCACUAGAACUCUUAAGAACAGAUGUAUUCAAGCAACUGUCCAGACCAACUGACAGAGGAGAGUCAGGCAUCCUGAAAGGGGCUGGGAAGUUUGUGAAGAUGGGUUAGACUUAGUCUGCACAGCCUGGGGAUCCUGGAUGAGAACCGAUUUAUGACAAUAUCAGCAAAAGAAAAAAAAAUAAAUCCACAAUGUUAUAGCUACA
rnacentral:lncRNA from 1 species